UGCAGUCGACGGUGUCUUCGGACAUAGUGGCGGACGGGUGAGUAACGCGUGAGAAUCUGCCUUCAGGUUGGGGACAACAGUUGGAAACGACUGCUAAUACCCAAUGUGCCGAGAGGUGAAAGCUUUAGUGCCUGAAGAUGAGCUCGCGUCUGAUUAGCUAGUUGGUGGGGUAAUGGCUUACCAAGGCGACGAUCAGUAGCUGGUCUGAGAGGAUGAUCCCCCACACUGGGACUGAGACACGGCCCAGACUCCUACGGGAGGCAGCAGUGAGGAAUAUUGCCCAAUGGACGCAAGUCUGAGGCAGCGACGCCGCGUGGGUGAUGAAGGCCUUCGGGUCGUAAAGCCCUUUUCUGUGUGACGAGCAAGGACGGUAGCACAGGAAAAAGUCUCGGCUAACUACGUGCCAGCAGCCGCGGUAAAACGUAGGAGGCAAGCGUUAUCCGGAGUUACUGGGCGUAAAGCGUGCGUAGGCGGAUGGGUAAGUGGGUCGUGAAAGCGCCGGGCUAAACCGGGCGAGGACGAUACAGACUGCUCGUCUAGAGGCGGAUAGAGGGGUGCGGAAUUCCGGGUGUAGCGGUGAAAUGUGUAGAGAUCCGGAGGAACACCAGUGGUGCAAACGGCGCCCUGGGUCCGAACUGACGCUGAGGCACGAAAGCGUGGGGAGCGAACGGGAUUAGAGACCCCGGUAGUCCACGCCGUAAACGAUGUCAACUAGGUGUCCACUUGGCUACGGUCAAGGGGGUGCCGAAGCUAACGCAAUAAGUUGACCGCCUGGGGAGUACGGUCGCAAUGCUAAAACUCAAAGGAAUUGACGGGGGCCCGCCCAAGCAGCGGAGCGUGUGGUUUAAUCGAGGCUAC
rnacentral:rRNA from 1 species